rnacentral:rRNA from 1 species
UCCAUGCGUUAUCCGGAAUCAUUGGGUUUAAAGGGUCCGUAGGCGGUUUGGUAAGUCAGUGGUGAAAGCCCAUCGCUCAACGGUGGAACGGCCAUUGAUACUGCCAGACUUGAAUUAUUAGGAAGUAACUAGAAUAUGUAGUGUAGCGGUGAAAUGCUUAGAGAUUACAUGGAAUACCAAUUGCGAAGGCAGGUUACUACUAAUGGAUUGACGCUGAUGGACGAAAGCGUGGGUAGCGAACAGG